GCCCCUUGUAGCCAUCAUCCUGCACUAAGCGAAAAUGACAGUCUCCUUUAAGAGACAAUAAACAAACCUCACAUCAGUAUGGUGCAGUAGCAGCAGCAGUUAACGUGGUGCACAAUCAUCGAGGCUUUCUCCUGGAUGGCAGCAAAGAAGAAAGACUGCAUCAUGUACGGGCUGAUGAAAACUUGAAUCGCUGUACACUGUCACCAGAUCAUUUGGAGGAGAGAUGAUAAAUGCCCUCAAGUAAGCCCUGGGAUGCUGUAUGUAAAUCUGAGGGGACAAUACUAAGGGAAACUGAAGAUAGGAAACAAGUAGGAGGUCCAGAAGCUGGAGCAGUGUGAAGAGGAGCUAGUAAAGCAUUGACCUGCUGGAAAUGGAGACCCUGGCGCUAAUAAAUCAAGUACAUUUAAAAUGAGUUACCCUAAUGCUCAUUCAUCACAGCUGUAAUGCCAUUUGCAGCAGAGGAUUCGCCGUCCUGCGCAAACACUGCAGUAAAUAAUAACACUUGAGCAUCCCAGCAUCGUCGCGGGCUCCAACACCACAAGCAUACGUUUAUUAAGGAGCCUUUAUUAGAUGGCAGUCUCGCCUAACAGGCCAGAUCAUGAAGUAACAGGAUUCGGUGCCGAUCACCCUACCAUCAGGUGACAGAGUGAUAAACAUC